UUUAGCUAAAUCUAAAGAGAUAUACAUUAUAAAUACUCUUGUAAAGUCCAUACUGAAUCAUAAGAAAUAUUUUCUUCUUACAAAAUGAUUGUAGUCAAUAUAUAAUUAAAUCAUCGGCGCAUUCUCAUUGUCAAAUAUAUCAGUAUCUUAAGCCUUUAGUAGGAAAAAAAAGAUAUUCUAUCUUCAUGCUCUUAUUCUCUAAUCCUUAUUUGCUAUACUUUAACGUGGAUGUUAAAAAUAAACAUGAAAGAAUUUCAUGUUAUACAAAAUUGAUGCCAAGAGAAAAGAUGUCAUGUCGACAUAUUAAAAACUAAAAUUAUAUAAAAUCAAAUUACGCCCAUGAAUAUACAUGGAAGUUGCAAAAAAAAAAAAGACUCAAAACUUAAUUUAAAUGUAAAAGUAUUCAAAUGCAAAACUCACCCAAAAAAAGUAGUGGAAUUACAACCAACCCCCCU
rnacentral:lncRNA from 1 species